UACGGAGGGUGCAAGCGUUGCUCGGAAUUAUUGGGCGUAAAGGGCAAGUAGGUGGUCUCAUUUGUCAGGGGUGAAAGCCUUGGGCUUAACCCGAGAAGUGCCCCUGAAACGGUGAGACUGGAGUCCUGGAGAGGCGAGUGGAAUUCCCGGUGUAGCGGUGAAAUGCGUAGAGAUCGGGAGGAACACCAGAGGCGAAGGCGGCUCGCUGGACAGGUACUGACACUCAACUGCGAAAGCGUGGGGAGCAAACAGG
rnacentral:rRNA from 1 species